rnacentral:lncRNA from 1 species
UAUGAGCUGGUCCGGGCUUGUAACAUGAAAAAUCCACCAAGUAAACUUUUCUUGGACGGCUCAUGAAGUAGAGUGUAGCAGUAAAAACAAUUGAGGUUGAGGAAAGAACAACUGUCACAAAAUUGAAUUUGAGUUGAUUCCAAAGCUCAUCAACUGUGACUGUUGAAAGAUGAGCAAAAAUCACGCAAAGUGCUGGCAUGAGCAUGAGGUACAUGACAUUGGAAACCAAGUAGUGGUAACCAAGUUUCACAUAUUUGAGCUGAACAGAUAAAAGGAAGUUUGGUAAGGUGUUUUUCUUCCUCUCGGGUCGAGGUUGAGACAACACAGGUUUGUUUUCCAGGUUUUGUUUCUUCUCAUCUGCCAUAUUCUACCAGUACCAAUGAAGUUCAAUUGGCAACACCUCAAUUCAGUGAUCAAAGUUCAAACCUUCGGUGUCUUUUAUACACGAGUGGUGUGCUUGUACUGCAUUUAAAAUUUUUUUUUUUUACAUAGUUAUAAAACUUUGCCAACCGGAUAGAUUAAUGUAGGAAAUUCAAAAUUCAAAGCUUGAGUCGGUUAGGUUACUAGUUGAAUUAACCAAGAUUUUGACCAGCUAAAACUCAUUUAACUAUGAUAGGUUUUUAAUAAUUCAGGUGAUCCGGUUCAAACUCAACCGAGUUAAUAGUAAAAAAAAAAGAAGCAAUGACGUAGUCAGAAAUAUUAAAAUGCCUUGAUUAAAAAUAUUCAUGAAUUUCAGCUUUACUCAAACCGGUUUUAAAUUCAGUAGAAACGUUGGUUGACUUGAAUCCAAACCCAUUCCAAUAAUUUUUUUAAAAAACAAUUAAUUAAAAAUAUCAUUUUAACUAAAUUGAUAAGUCUGAAUUGAUUUGAUAUCUCACAAGUUGAUUCAAUUUAAUCCAAAUUAUUUUCUGAGCCAAUACCUCAAGUGAACCUGACAUUAGAGAUAUAGCCAUUACAUUUCAUCUAACAAGAUUUUGUGAGAGAAUGUCAGUCAUGAAUGAGUUGUCAGAAAUAUUAUUAAGGAUAGCAACUAGCUAGCCAGCAUAUAUAUAUAAACCGAUAUAUAUUGGAAUAAAAAUAGCGGGCAAGAAUCCCACUAAACACCAACUUGACCACACGAUAAUAAAUAAACAUCGGACCCGAUCUGUGCUACAACAGGAUUGCAUGCACAAAGAAACAUGAAAACAUAUAGCAAGAACCAUUACAUUAUAACACCAAUUUCGAUAAUGUUAUAUUUCUACACCAAAAGAGAUGUGAAAAUAACAUUUUUAUUUCACGUUAAUAAUUACUCGGAUCCUGCAUUCCGAUAAUAACAUAAUAUUGCCGAUUGAAAUAAUAAUAACGAUGGACGAUGACCUUUUUUUCCGAGAAGAUGUUUUUAAUAAACAAUCGGUGCCACUCUAGGCACACGAACUGGAAAGUCAUCAAUCUCAUCCAUCCAAGGAUUCUUCUCUUUGGCCGGGUCGAUAGCUCUUAUAGCACGCCACACGGCACUGUUGCACUUAAAUCCUGAACCAAAACCUAUUUGCCAAAUUCUGUCCCCCUUCUUGAUCCUUCCCUUGGCCUCGGAGUACGCCAACUCAUACCACAAAGAACUGCUCGAGGUAUUUCCGAACCUAUAAAGAGUCAUUCUUGAUGGCUCCAUAUGCCAUUCAGUGAGCUCAAGAUUUUUCUCAAGCUCAUCCAACACGCCUCUUCCUCCCGCGUGGAUGCAGAAGUGCUCAAAUGCCAUCUUGAAAUCAGGAAUAUAUGGUUUUAUCUUCAUCUUGAAGAUUUUUUUGGCAACUAAGGUUACAAAGAAUAGAAGUUGUUCGGAGACUGGAAGAACUAAUGGGCCCAGAGUGGUUAUAUUCGUUUCAAGGGCUUCUCCAGCUAUAGCCAUUAGGUCUUUUGAGAGAGAGACGCCAACACUUUUGGUGUCAAUAUCCUCUCGUUGCAAGACACAGUUGAAGGACUUAUCAUCUGCACCCUUAUGUGUACGUACAGUACGGAUAAGUUCAUACUUUGAGCGACGUCGAUCAAAUGUCCGGUUGGAUAGGAGGACUGCGGCUGCUCCUAUACGGAAGAGGCAGUUGGUGACAAGCAUCGAUCGGUCAUUUCCAACAUACCAGUUGCGAGUAAUGUUCUCGGUGCUCACCACUAGGGCAUAGGAGUUGGGAUGCACCUGGUACAAUGAAGUGUCAAUCCUUGUAAUUAUUAUUACUUUUAUUGUAUAAAUGAAAUAUUUAAACCCGAGACCUUUUGACACGUAUAUUUGAAAUAUGUACAAACUCAUGCUUAAUUUUAAGAAUAUCAUAUAUAUAUGUGCAAAUCAUGCUAUAUAUCAACCGUCGUCAAAUCAUUCAAAUUAAUUUGCUACAUCCGAAAGGGGCACCACCUUAAAAACCUUAAAAGUUUGGCAUUUGAAGUAGCAUACCUGUAAAAGGUCUUUGGCAAGAUCAAUAGAAAUGAGUCCUGCACUGCAGCCCAUACCACCAAGAUUAUAGGUCAAAAUGUUCCCUCUAAGCUUGUAGUGAUUCACUACUCUAGCUGAGAGAGAUGGCGUGGGAUUGAACAGACUGCUAUUCACCACAAGUAUUCCUAUGUCUCUAGGCUUCACCCUUGUUUUGGCCAAGAGAUCAUCAAUUGCUCCGAAUAUCACCAUCUCUGAUUCCCUCCAGGAUUCAGCCAUGGACUGGUCUGGCGGGACACGCAUCAAGCCUUUUGGAGCGUAGGUCAUUUCACCAUAGCCUGAUUUCUCUAGGAUUUUCUUUUGAAAAGCUAAGCUUUGCUCUGUGAAAACCGCGGACUCUGCAGAUAACUGCAUGAAGAGUUCUCUAGAUGCUUUAUGAGCUGGUCCGGGCUUGUAACAUGAAAAAUCCACCAAGUAAACUUUUCUUGGACGGCUCAUGAAGUAGAGUGUAGCAGUAAAAACAAUUGAGGUUGAGGAAAGAACAACUGUCACAAAAUUGAAUUUGAGUUGAUUCCAAAGCUCAUCAACUGUGAAUGUUGAAAGAUGAGCAAAAAUCACGCAAAGUGCUGGCAUGAGCAUGAGGUACAUGGCAUUGGCAACCAAGUAGUGGUAACCAAGUUUCACAUAUUUGAGCUGAACAGAUAAAAGGAAGUUUGGUAAGGUGUUUUUCUUCCUC